rnacentral:rRNA from 1 species
GGCUCAGAACGAACGCUGGCGGCGUGGAUUAGGCAUGCAAGUCGAACGAGAAAGGCAUCUUCGGAUGCUAAGUAUAGUGGCAAACGGGUGAGUAACGCGUGGGAAACCUGCCCUUUGGUUGGGGACAACACUUCUAACGAGGUGCUAAUACCGAAUUCUGUCAUCGGAUCGCAUGUUCUGGUGAUGAAAGGCGGCCUCUACAUGUAAGCUGUCGCCAAAGGAUGGUCCCGCGUUCCAUUAGCUUGUUGGUGAGGUAACGGCUCACCAAGGCGAUGAUGGAUAGCCGGCCUUAGCGGGUGACCGGCCACACUGGGACUGAGAUACGGCCCAGACUUCUACGGAAGGCAGCAGUCGAGAGGCUUCCACAAUGGGGGAAACCCUGAUGGAGCGACGCCGCGUGGGUGAUGAAGGUUUUCGGAUCGUAAAGCCCUUUCGACAGGGACGAACGGCAUGGGGGUUAAUAUCUCCCAAGCAAAGACGGUACCUGUAAAAGAAGCUCCGGCUAACUCCGUGCCAGCAGCCGCGGUAAGACGGAGGGAGCAAGCGUUGUUCGGAUUUACUGGGCGUAAAGGGCGUCUAGGCGGAGAUGCAAGUCAGAUGUGAAAUCCAUCGGCUUAACCGGUGAACUGCAUUUGAAACUGCAUUUCUUGAGUACGGUAGAGGAGAGCGGAAUUCCUGGUGUAGCGGUGAAAUGCGUAGAUAUCAGGAAGAACACCGGUGGCGAAGGCGGCUCUCUGGACCGAUACUGACGCUGAAGCGCGAAAGUGUGGGGAGCGAACAGGAUUAGAUACCCUGGUAGUCCACACUGUAAACGAUGGAUACUAGGUGUCGGGGG